rnacentral:rRNA from 1 species
CAUACCUAUUCGAAGGGAUAGGGUCGGUUUGGCCGGAUUUCACACAGGUGUUGCAUGGCUGUCGUCAGCUCGUGUCGUGAGAUGUUGGGUUAAGUCCCGCAACGAGCGCAACCCUCAUCCUUAGUUACCAUCAGGUUAUGCUGGGGACUUUAAGGAAACUGCCAGUGAUAAACUGGAGGAGGGUGGGGAUGAUGUCAAGUCAUCAUGGCCCUUAUGGAGUGGGCUACACACGUGCUACAAUGGUGAUUACAAUGGGCUGCAAGGUCGCAAGGCUGAGCUAAUCCUAAAAAAUCAUCUCAGUUCGGAUUGUUCUCUGCAACUCGGGAGCACGAAGUUGGGAUCGCUAGUAAUCGUGGAUCAGCACGCCACGGUGAAUACGUUCUCGGGUCUUGUACACACUGCCCGUCACGCCACGGGAAUUGGUUUCACUCGAAGCU